AUGACACCUUCAAAUUUCAUUGGCCCAAAUUGACUUUUUUUCUUCUUUCUUUCAGAGUCACUAAGAUCAGGAGAAUAUGGUGACCAAUCAAACUUACAUAGGUUCUGGCAAAACAGUUGAUAAAGUCUCAUGAUGACGCUCAUAGAAUUGAGCUAGACAAUAGUACAAUCACAUAGAUCUCAAAAUGGAUUUAAGGUCCCAGGUCCCAGCUUUCUUAGAAGGUGAAGGUCUUGAAGAAUAUCCCCAGGAAGAAGGAUCCAACUAGGAGGAGACUCCUGAGACCUUCCACUACAGCUUGAAGGCGAUACUUGAUGGGCAGGAGCAAACCCUACAAGAAACUGGUGGCAGAGUGAUUCCUGCCAGGCCUUUGCCAUGGAGCACGUGGCCCUGCUGCCUGGGGAGAGAGCAAGCCCUAGAACAGAGAUUGAGGUCACCACCAUCAUGGAAGGUGCCCAUCAGAAGGUUCCCUUUGGAAGUUUUCCUGGGCUCCCGUUUAAGUAUCUCCCUGCUCCGAUUCCCCAAGGCCCAUCACACUGUCAAGUUUCCUAAAUGGGACAUAAGGACCCAGCAGAAUUUGGCCUCCUUGUCCCUGAAGGAAAAGUGAAGAUUUUGAAGAAUGAUCUGUGCUUGUGGGGAUUCAUCAUGGAUUUGCCUCAGUCCUGGAUCCCUUGUGCAGACUGUGCAAGUGGGACAUGAGCCGGAUGCAGCACGAUUCCUUUAGCGAAGACACUGGAUUUGAAGUCAAGAACUUGAACAUGGUGCAGAGCAUUUGCCUGAGAAGAGGCUCCCAAAUGACCAUUGCGACUUGAACGAAGCCAGGGAAUAUGAUAGGAAUUUGGAGAAAGAGAAGAGAGCCCAUGCAGAGAAGGGACCAUUCCCAGAACGACUUUGAGUAAUGGGAAUGUGCCUCAGUGUAUGGCAAUUGGGAAGAGCUUCAGCCUUGGGCCAGUCUUUGUUGGAACUAUGGAGAAAAGUCUGGAUAAAUAUGACAAGUAGAAAGAGCUUGAGAGGUUUUCAAACCUAAUUAUAUAUAAUAUAUUCUCUUUAGAGAAGAACUUUUCUAAGUAUAGCAAAGGCAAGAAACCUUUCGAAGAUCACUUAGAUUUAUUUAAGUUUCAUAGAAUAGGUGCUAGAAAAAAAUCUACAUAAACAGAGUGAAUGUGGAAAAGUAUUUAGAAGAUCAGAUCUUAUUGAAAAUCAGAGAAUUCCCAUAGGAGACAGUCAUUAUAAAUAUAAUAAAUAUGGGAAAGGCUGUUUCCACAAAGGAAACUUGAAUGAACUUAUCAUGCUAAACUGAAACUCUUUAAAUAUGAUGAAUAUGGGAAAGGCAGAGAAACCUUUUCUCUGCAAUUAUUAUGGAAAAGACUUCAGCCAGAGGGGACACUUCAUUGCUAAUCUGUUUAAUUGCUAAUCUCAGAAAGAAUCCAUUAGCAGUUAGUAUUCAGUGAAUCAUUCAAUAAUGGACUCAAGUGGCAGGAAUUUUGUGCCCCAAGCUAUCAGAGCUCUGGAGUUUUCUGGAGGUUUCCCCAUCUGUUACCUUAAACAAAUUUUCUUUUUUAGUUCUGGGAGAGAACAAGACAAUUCUCAAAAUUCAGGUAGAACAGAAUUUAUCACAGCCAAUUAACUUUCCAUUUUAACAUAUAUAGCAAUUUAAAAGUUAUUUUAAAAUUAACCAGUACUUUAUUUUGUGGGAUUCCCUAAAAUCUACUGAAAUGUUUCAUUCAAGCCAAAUUGCCUUUUGAUUGUUUUUCCAAUGCCAAAUCUCUUCUCUUUUGUAAAUCAAGGAAGUGUUAAAUGCCAGGUUUUUUUUUCUGUUUCCAUGUUUUUUGCUUCAAAUGCGUUUUUAUUUUGAGGUUCCUCCUGGUAUGGUUGUAUAAGCCUGUGUUCUGAUAACAAAGUUAUAGGUUCCUUGCUUACAGGAGUUUUUAAAGUGGUAGUGAACUGCUUUUCCAUUUUCCCUAAAGUUUCCAUUCUCUAAUCCCUUUUAGUCUAUGCUCUUGUUAUUUCUAUGUGCUUAAACUUUCUCACUUUUCUAUAUGUAUAUCCCUU
ensembl:lncRNA